rnacentral:rRNA from 1 species
GUCCCAGACUCCUACGGGAGGCAGCAGUGGGGAAUAUUGCACAAUGGGGGAAACCCUGAUGCAGCGACGCCGCGUGAGCGAUGAAGUAUUUCGGUAUGUAAAGCUCUAUCAGCAGGGAAGAAAAUGACGGUACCUGACUAAGAAGCCCCGGCUAACUACGUGCCAGCAGCCGCGGUAAUACGUAGGGGGCAAGCGUUAUCCGGAUUUACUGGGUGUAAAGGGAGCGUAGACGGCGGUGCAAGCCAGAUGUGAAAGCCCGGGGCUCAACCCCGGGACUGCAUUUGGAACUGUGCUGCUAGAGUGUCGGAGAGGCAGGCGGAAUUCCUAGUGUAGCGGUGAAAUGCGUAGAUAUUAGGAGGAACGCCAGUGGCGAAGGCGGCUUGCUGGACAGAGACUGACGUUGAGGCUCGAAAGCGUGGGGAGCAAACAGGAUUAGAUACCCGUGUAA